UGGUGUUUCCGCCGAGUAAUAAAGUAUUAUUUUUUUACAUUAUUUAAUUACAAAAAUACAAUUUAAAUAAAGAUUCAAAAAAUUAUCAGGCAACUGUAAAAUGCAUUUACAGUUCAAAAUAUUUUUUGCUAUAAGCAUUUCAAAAAUAUUGCCAAACAAAUUCUAAAGGUUCCAAUUUCGAAAUCACUCGCCAAUUCAUUCGGUUGCCAUUAGAGAUAAAAACUGGCCGACAAAAAAAUUGAAUUGCACCUUUUCUAAGGCGUUCUAUAUUUGAAAUGCGUCGCGUUCCCACGAUCGCUCGCGCCAGUUGCGCGGUCUUACCCCUCGAUCUUACAUUCUUUUUUUUUGCCAUAAUAGAGGUGAUGUUUGUAAGGAGACGGCUGAUGGGGAACCAUUUGUUUUUAUUACUUUAAGUAAUUUUUGCUGAUUUAUCUUUUCAUAACAUUUUCUAUAAGAUAAUUAAAAUUAUAAGUGUUUUCUUAUAAACAGUGCGAAGAGUAAUUUUAACUGUAUUUUGGUCGUUUUUGUAGAAGCACUAAACUCUUAACUAAACUGGAACUUUCCGUUUUCCCAUGGUUACUACAGAAAAGUUACAAGUGUGUUCACAAACUUUAAAACAAACGUUUAAUUACAUAAACAAAGUUUUCACGCGUACUUAGUUCUAAGUAAUCAUAAUACACAGUCAAUCAAUAAGGGGCAUGUGCAUAAAAAGAACUUACUAGAGUCUUCACCUGUAAAAAAAACUCAAAUUUACCGCUCGAAGAAUAAAGUCCAAUUUCGUAUAAACCACUAACUGAAAUAGAAAUUACUCCAUCUUUUGAAAAUGGAACCUUAUUCCGAAGUGUUUGAAUUCAAAUUGAGAACUUGAAAUUGAUUCAGGUUUAAACGAGCGACGACAGUUGAGAAAAGAAGAGCACACAUUGCGUUUUACGCAGGAUCCGUUCCCACGACCCACGAGACAUAUGGCGCGAGCGCUGCACUCGCGGUGACGCGUGGGCAAAAAACAUCUCGGACUUAGCGGAUCUAUGGCUGACUAUCCAUAAACGGAGAUAACGAACCGGUAUAAUGGAUGCGUUGUCACAUACUGGCUUUUUGGACGUCAUGUUCGAACGAUAAAGCUUUUUGUUAUAGACAUUACUUUACGGUUUGGAGAUUAGUCAGAUUUGUUAUUUGAUGCGGCACCAUUAGUUUGGUAUUGAUUGAUUGCUGGGAAAAAGCUGCUAUCAGCGCCUUCCAUACUGUAUUUUGUUUACAUCACAACUCUUUUUAACAAAUCCAAUUGUAAUAAAAUUUGUAUAAAAUCAAAUUAGUAGCAAUAUGAGUUAUGGUUUUUGAAAAUCCUUUGAAAAUCAAUUGCUUUGAUUGUUGAAUGCAAUGAUUGACCGGUAAAAAUUAAUCCUAUUUGUUUGUAUUGAAAUGUUUUAUUUCAUAAGUAUAUAAUAAAUGUUUAGGUAUAACAACUAUUAUAAUUAAAAUAUAUUAAAAACAAAUAUGUCCUAUAUAAUAGGGAAAAAAAAUGCUGUUUAAUUUAUUUAUUUUCCAUGAUAUCGGUCAACUAAAUGUUCAAAAAUUUCUAAUCACAAAUCGUCAGUUAGUAACAGAGUCCACAAAUACUGCUAAAAAAUAAUUCUUACCAAUAAAAAACCAAGGUCAGGCGAAUCAUUCCAAAUUUGAAUUUUGGAAUAUGUUUUUUAGCGGGGCAGGUGGCGCGGGUAGCGCGCAACUGUCGCCGUUCCCACGAUCUCGCACACCGGGCUUCUGCCAUACAUCGCUGUAUCUGUAUACGACCGUGUCUUGAUUGCCAAUUAUAAAAAUUAUCCAAACAUUAAAUUAUUGUUAUCUUGUCUUCAUUUAUUUUUUGAGAUUUUCAUAGCUUAAUUGACAUAUUAAUUAAACAUUUAGCAAAGAAGUUUAUAACCUCUAGUUAAACACAUAGCCAUCUUAGUAAAUCAAAAUUAAAACAUUGUUUUUAAAACACGUAAAUAUAAAUUGGUAAAUAACUAUAAUUCGUUCUUCGCUCUCAUAGAAGUGUCAUAGAUCGUUCGGUGAUCUUUCGUAGACGUGCUACGAAAAAUCGUAGCUUGUCUACUCCGCCUACGCGUUGUAAAUGGGUUAUAAUUUUUUUCAAAAUCAAUUCCUGCUUCAAUUAUAGGUUAUACAUUAAUAAAUAUUAAUAAAUGAGUUACAAGGACAUUAAUAACAUAUGAUGUAUUUAUGUUUCAAUAGAGUAUAUCGUGAUACUUAAUACUAGUUAUUUUUGUUAAAUUGUAAUAUAUCGAAGGUAGUUACUCGUAACUUAAAUCACAAUUAUACCUAUAUUCAUACAAUUAUAUGUUAAUAUGUAUGUAAAUAUGUCAUUAAAAAAAUAUGACAUGCGUAUGUCAGUUAAUAUGAGUAUGUCAUACUAACAAUAUCAAAACAAAAUUGAUAGAAGCCACGUGUUUGCGCGUACGCACGACAUGACACGAGACUGCCACGCGGUCGUCGGUAGCAUUAAGGACUAUUUUCCUAUGAAUUUCCACCACUUUUUAGAAAAUAUGCACCUUUCUACAUUUUAAGAAUUCUGCAUUUCAAGAAUCAUAAUAGAAGUGAAUUUCGAAAUGUCGACUUUGAACAAAUAGAAAUAACUAUGGCAUUUUUUUUUCAGACCUAGAUUUUAUUUCUGAUACUGAAAUUUAUUUGAAAAAGUUUUUUAUUAAAUGGGCAAACUUGAAAACAUUAUACCAGAUACAUUUGACAGCGACAUCUCUCGUGAUCAGUGAGAACUAAAACCAGAAGGGAUAAGCCUUGAGGAGCGUCGAGUAUUGUCCAUUUAUUUAGCUAUGUAAGCUAUCAUUCUUCUUCAUAGUCGUAUUCCUCAUGGCUGAGGGUCGUGGUUGUUACGUGGAAUGAAACACACACAACAACUUUCUUGGCAUUAUUAAUGGAGUAGUUUGCCAUUGCCUUCUCCAUUUCACACACAAGUUAAUAAUCAGCCUGUGUGCGGGUUUCCUCAGGAUUUCCUUCACCGGAAGCUAUCAUUAUUGGCCACUAUUUUAUAACUGACAGAUCUGAAGAAAAUAAUCGUAUUUUUCAUGUAUUUCAAUUAUUUUCAUUAUUACAAUUGCAACAAUGUGGUUAUUGAUAUUAUUUCUAUGUUAUCAUAAAUUGAUGGGAUAUUAGGAGUGUUACACCGCUUACUUGCUGAUAAAAUACCAGAUAGCCUAAGCCUAAAUGUAACAUAUCAAACAGAUCAAACGGAAAAUAGUGUUUCAUAAGUGUUGGAUAGGGCUAACUAAAUAAUAGGGCCAAUUACAUCAGGUAGAUUUAUGUAACUAAAAUUAGUUUAUAUGACAUUUUAUCCGAAAGUGAUGAAACAGACGCUUUAAAUUUAAAAAAGUAAAUAUAUUAUACAAUACCAAGAAUACAUUCCCCUAUUUGAAACCAGAAAGAUUCGUAAUAAUAAUACAUAGACAAGGGGGGCUGCGUUUUUGCAAGACAAGGAUUCGCAGACAAUGCUGCGUAAUUCUCUAAGGGUCAAAGUUUAAGGAAUAAAGGAAGAGUCCGUGGGAAACAAGGAAAUAUUGGGGUGAAGCUUGUAUAUAUUUUGAUACCGUUACAAUAAUAGUUCAGUUAUCCGAGUGUCAUCGACCAGGAAGUAACGGGAGCUGUAAGGAAGUGCGGAGUAUGUUUCGUGGAGAAUAUUUUAAAGUUCUUAGUUUUAAGAAAGUGUUGGCGGUUCCUAAGUAUUUUAUUUGUUUUGUCAGUCUUUAAUAAUAAGUGCAAAAGUGAAGUUACCGUGAAAUAGUGAAGUGAGAAAUGUGUAGAGUUUUCUAAAUGUGUCUAUAUCAUUGAGUGGGCGUUACUAAAUAAUUCUAUAAAAUAGAGAGUAUCUUUAUAUUUUUUAAAAAAUAGCUUUUUAAAUUAAGAAAUAAUUUACUAUUAACUGUUAUUUGUUUUGGCAAUUUUUUAUUAUAACACUGUUUAGUACAACUUUUAGUAUUUAAAAAGUUACAUAGGAGUAAUAAUUAUUUUUAUCGUUUGGUUGCCAGCAACAAAAAUAAAUUGUGAACUAUUUUAAAAACUAUCGUUUCGUAAUGAACAUACUUUCAGUGCUGUGAUAUGUUUAUCAUAUUACAGGAAGUAUUUUAGUACAACAACUUAGUAAAAAGACAGAAAUUCCUAAACGUACAGUAAAUAAGUUCAUGGCAUGUUUGGGCACGAGACUCCAGUCAGCGCUGAGCUAUGUUGUUUGGUUGUAGUAUAAUUGUAUCACUUGUGUAAUGAAAGUGUCGUAGUCAACAAGAGCGGUGACUCAUUACUGUUAGUUUUAAUUAAGGGAAAGAUUCACGAACUAUUCAAAAUUAUGUUAAUAUAUACGAGUACCUACUUAACGUAACAAAUCAUCAUAAAUGUAGUAAAAAUACUCUACUAAGUAUUUUUACAGUACAUCUAUUCAAAAUAGUAAUGCUCAAUUAAUAUAAUAUGGUUAGAAAUAUAAAAAAUAUGCCCUAGUUUUAAAUAAGUGAAAUCUUAUUUCUAUAUACAAAAUUGAUUUUGCAGCAUUGGCCACUCAAAAUAAUUCUAUUUUUAAAUAUUUAAAAUUAGAGCUCAAUUUUUUGAUCGUAAAAUGCUAAGCCUUAACGCUAGGGAGCCAGCUCAUCGUUGACGCAAGUCGCGUGUUGACUCGGUGGUCCAUCAUCUGAGCAAACACCUGAUGAUAUCACCACUCAAAUCGAUGGCUCGCUUGCUCAGGUGUAGUUCAUUGUUCUAUUUUGAAGCGGUUCUUGUGUUUCACUGUGUGGGCUCCGAAGGUCUGAUACGGGGCCAGUAAAAAUUGUUUAAUGUUUGAUCGCUAACACGAGUCGAGAUAGUCUCAAAUGUUUCAUUUAAAAUAAUUUAAAUAAUAAAGUUAUAUCAAAACUUUUCUUAGUAUAUUCAGUACAAAACAGUUCAGUGGUAAUAAUGAAUAGCCAUAUAAAGGCCACAGAGCAGUAGGAACGCGUUCUGAUUUUUUCCGGCUGUAAUGGAACUCUAAUUGCUCCCGGAGUAAUCUCGAUAACCGCGUGAAAUGCUUCUAAAUGCCGCUUUAAUUACUUCUGGCCAGUUCAUACCUUCGGCACCCCUACAGCAAUUUAAUUCUAAUUGAAAACUAAUUAAUGGAGCUCAGCGGCGCAAUCUUCAAUUAGCUAUAGAUCAUUAUUGUUACAGGUUUAAUAAUACCCUCUCCGUCCGGUUUUAAUGACCCUUCACUAAAAUGUACUACACAUGUGUAACUACCUAAUACGCAUUGGUAAACUGCAUUCCAUUGUAAUGCACGUGUCCAAAUCGAAAUUGGAGUUUGAAAAAAAAAAUAACCCAAAUUUUGCAAGAGUUGCGGAAUUCGAAAUAAGGGUUGCAAAAAAUCCUUUUUAACCCGAACGUCCGAGCAGUGAACACGUGCAGUCACAAUGCAUCGAUGAGUCACGAUCGAGCUCGAUCCGACCGUGUUAUUAAGUCCGGAGAAAAAAGAUAAGCGUUCACUCGUCGUGCCGUCAAGGAAUUGAACAUCUGCCAAAAUUUCUCACGACUCGGUCGCAGUAGUAUUAUUAUGUCCACUCGCUACCCGCGUAUCCGUCCCACGCAUUAUAGCGAGAUGUUGCUCUGAUAAUUAUCUACUAGCGGUAUAAAUAUGAUCUGUUAGUUGUUUUUUUUAGGUUCAUUGUGUAAAUGAUAGAUUUUCGUUUUAUUAGUCAUUCAUUAUGCAUUCUAUUAUAUUUUACAACCAUCAUUUAUUUCACUGUGUAAGUAUAAUAUGAUGUUUGUAAUUGAUUGAACAGAUUAAUUGGUAUUUGUAUGAUGUGUUUAAUAUAGUCAUGAAACAUAAUGAAAAAAUAAUUGUGAGACUUUUAUGCACAAUUUUUUGGAGAAAAUUUCCUGGUCAUAAUUUUUUACAAUUUAAUCAUUAAUUGUAUGACCCAUAAUGAGACAAAGCUUUCAUGAUAAGUACUAGUGAGAUGCAAGUAAUGGAGUCUAUGACAUAUUUUUGUGAAAUAUUAAUAAUUUUCUCCACUCAACUUGUAAUGGUAACUGUUUUCUCUGUUUUUUAUACUAAAAGAUGUUAAUGGAUUAAAGAAGUUGUAUGUGUUUUACGGGAAUCCCGUUACAUAGGUGUUGUAGUAUUUUAUAACUUUAGUGCUAACAUAUACAUACUUAUGGGUUGUACCGUAUUAUUCCAAUGUCGUUUUUCUGAAUCAAAAUUUUUUGCCUGCUCAUCUGAUUUACUACGCGAGUACUAAGCUCAUUCUACGACAAUAAUUUCAUUUGAAUAUCCUAUCAAUAUUAUAUUAAUCGAUUGUAUUUGAUAAUUAAAAUUGGUAGUUUUAGAUGAGCGUGGAAAGUAUUUCUGAGGAAUAUUGAGUUUAAUUAAAAUAUUGUAAUUGGGUGAGCAUGGAUUCUGGUUUCGUAUACGAGAUGAAUUGGAUCAAAUUAUAUUUAAAUGCAUUACUUACAUGUUCAUAAUAUAGUCAAUGUAUUAGAUGCAUGGAGGGUAAAGUUGUUUUUUGUAAAAUUAUGUUUAAACUAAAACCAACUAAUACGCAUGUUUUAAAGAACAUUUAAUUUUAAAAGUCUUGUUUAAAAGUGUAUCAUAUUUUAGGAAAUCGUAGAUUAUAUUUUUUCGUUUGUUGACACUAAACAAUGAUACUAACAAUAUACAGGUAGGUACUUUUACUAAUCGCAUGAAUGAAUAUCUAAACAUAUAUAAAAAUAAACAUUUUACAAACGACUUCUUAGUAAUAUAAUAAUGAAUAAGUUAUUGUCAUCGUUACCAUUUGCAUCGCAAUGAAAGUUAACUUUUGCACGUGCACGCGCUAAUUCAUUGUUACACGUCCUAUGAUUGUUUACCUGACAAAGCCUUGGAAUUGUGCAAUAGUAAAAAAGGCUUCAAUGGGGAGCAAGUUCCGACAUGCUUCGAUUGGAUGGAAAGCUUGCAGGUUGAGACUUGUCGAGACUUGUGAGGUUUUCUUGCUUAGGUUGCAUUUAUUUUGCAUUGUGAUGAAGUAGUGAUAUGUAGAAUUUUUUGAAAUGUAUGGUAAUGAUUACAUGGUCAACCGUAACUUGAAAAAAAUUGAGGUGCUUUCCUGAAAAGCUUAGGAGCUAAAACUUGGUUCAAGAAGGGGAAGAAUAUAAAUAUAUUUACUAAUUAAUAAACUAACAAUUUAGUAAUCAAUUUUCGAUUAGAUUUAUAAAUGCACUGUAAAUAAAUGUUUUUAAUUUGUUAUUGCAUUUUUAAUAUCUAGAAUCGUGAUGUGCCAUAACGCAUGUGUGUAGAGAGUUAUGUAUAGUAUGCAAUUAUAUUGUACUGUGCAAUUCUUCGGUUCGUCUGUAGAAAUAGUCGCUGAUUGUGUUUUUUUUGUUAGGUACUUGGCUUUCAUUUGAAAUACAUCUAUCAUGCUCAGUAAUAAACCUAUAUUUGUAUUAUUAUUUGUUGAAUGUUGUAAUAAUCAUAAUACAGGAAGUAUUCUAUUAUUGCAGUUAUUAUAGCACAUGAUAAUGUAACUAUAAAUGAGAAUGUGAUGUAUCAUCAACUAUUAGAAUAUCAUCAACAAUCGCCUGAUUCAAAAUAAAUCAAAUAUAAUUAUCUAAACUGAGAUAAAAAGCGCGGCAGCAAAAAGGUUUAAACCCAGUAGCUGUGCCCGGGGCCGUGCACGUGCGACGCGCGGGGCCGUCCGGCCGGUCGGACCGGUCCGGGCACGGCGCGGCCGGCCGUGGCUCGCGCCUGCGCCCGCGCCGACACUAGUCUGACGGCUUUUUGAAAUCAGAAGAUUUGAAACUUAUUGGAAUUGUAUUGACUGUUCUGGUUUUUAUAAUAUUGAUGUUGUAUAUGCUUUCGAAGUAAAUUGUGAAGUAGUAAAGAUAACUCAACUAAAGGAUUGUAAGAUUUUUAUGCUCAUGAAAACUGAUUUUAGUAAUGACUUUGAUGACCAUGGGAAUUAUGUAAUAAGAAGGAGCUAGCUUAUGAUAAAGAAGUAUUUUACGUACAUUUAAUAGCUACAAUCACAAGUUUGAAGAUUCAGGAGUUAGAAGAAUAAGAAAUGAUUUCAGAAAGAGUGUCGAGGCAUAUUCUUGGUUCCCACGGUUGAAGAUGCAAAAACCACCUGUGACAAUGGCCAGCUAAAGAAUAGGACACUUGCUUUCGUCUAAAAAGAGAAAAAGUGAAACGUUGUAGGGACCCAUAGGGAGACAAGUGGAACCGGGAUGAACCCAGGACCCACCCCAAAAUAUGCAUUGUUUGAGUCUGCACUUGUCGCAUUUAGAGGGGAGAGAGGUCACACUGAUUUUUUGUUAUGAAUUUAAUAUUUUAUUCGCUCAAGUGCCUUAGUGACUAAUGGAAUUUAAUAGAAAUGAUUGUUACAUUUAUUGAUUGUUUUGAUUUUAUUGUUUAAUAAAUACUUCUGAAAUUGUUUUAAUGAACGCGUUGGUAAAAAAAUAGCAGCAAACAUUAUUCCUUCAUAGUCAUAAAAAUUUUGACAAAAACUAAAAUUACAAACAUUUGUAAUUAUUUUGUUAUUUCAUAUGUAAUUCUAAUAUCGUGUUUUGUAUAUAUUUACUUAAAAUGCAGUUCAUCCUGUUAAAUAAAUGGUCUUAAUUACAUAUAUGUUUUAUUUGUAGUAACUUUAUUUAAAUUACUCUAAAACAAUUUAGCAAGUCCAAUAAAAUGUAUUAAGAUGUAAA